CGCCUACAUAUAAAGGUGGUGCGCGUUUUGCACACCCCCUUUUUCCCAGCGGAGCGCCUACGAUGCCCGCGCACGGUAAGGAGCGCGGGAUGCGAGGUCUGCCGCUGCCCCGGCGGGGAGGGGGGAUGGCCUCUUCCUUUCGCUUGGACGUUGGGCCUGUCUCGUACUGCUUGAGGCUGGAGCCGGCAGCACCUGAUGGAAGGACCAUCGCAAGUAGAAGAAUACUUGGUACAGACAAGUGGAUUUUCCUGAAAAACGUGUAUGUUCUAAAUGAUCAGUGGGGAUUAAUGAACAAUAAAUGGAUUAGAAAAAGAUGCAUAGGAUUAAAUUAG
rnacentral:lncRNA from 1 species